UAAAACAGAACAGAAUGAAAUGGAGCGGGACAGAAAAUAUCAUAGUUCAUCAGCCAUAAUAAGAGCAUUAAGUUUCCUUCUACAAAAGGCCACGGGCUCCCUCCCUAUCCGGGCAGGCUGCGGGGGUCCUGCGGCAGGUGGACACGCGUGUGUGAAGGGAGGCGGCCGGUCGUGCGUCUCACCUCGGCAGCCAGGAAGGAAUUCUAAGUCAUCACUUGUGCGAUGGCCGCGGAUGCCCAGGAGGAGGAUCCCAGUGGAAUGGAGCUGCCACCUCUGCACCCUGCUGGGGAAGCCCACCCUGGUGUGCGCCAGACGAGACAAGGGCGUAGCAAAGUGCUCACAGAAGCAACUCCCAACAAGAUGCCGUGACAGUGAAGAGAACACAGGCCGCUCUGCUCACCUGUCCCCUGGAAGGGUGCGUUCACGUCUCCUUUAA
rnacentral:lncRNA from 1 species